rnacentral:rRNA from 1 species
UACGUAGGAUCCAAGCGUUAUCCGGAAUCAUUGGGUUUAAAGGGUCCGUAGGCGGUUUAGUAAGUCAGUGGUGAAAGCCCAUCGCUCAACGGUGGAACGGCCAUUGAUACUGCUGAACUUGAAUUAUUAGGAAGUAACUAGAAUAUGUAGUGUAGCGGUGAAAUGCUUAGAGAUUACAUGGAAUACCAAUUGCGAAGGCAGGUUACUACUAAUGGAUUGACGCUGAUGGACGAAAGCGUGGGUAGCGAACAGG